GACGAACGCUGGCGGCGUGCUUAACACAUGCAAGUGGUGCGACGAACCAGGCUUCGGCCUGGGGCGAAGCCGCGAACGGGUGAGUAACACGUGGGCAAUCUGCCCCUUUGAUCGGGACAACCCGGGGAAACCCGGGCUAAUACCGAAUGAGGUGGCGACUCAUGAGAGUCGUCACGAAAGGAAGCUUCGGCCUCCGCGAAGGGAUGAGCCCGCGGCCCAUUAGCUGGUUGGUGGGGUAAUGGCCUACCAAGGCAACGAUGGGUAGCUGGUCUGAGAGGACGAUCAGCCACGCUGGGACUGCGACACGGCCCAGACUCCUACGGGAGGCAGCAGUAGGGAAUAUUGCGCAAUGGAGGAAACUCUGACGCAGCGACGCCGCGUGGGUGAUGAAGGCCUUCGGGUCGUAAAGCCCUGUCGGAAGGGAUGAAAAACAUUCGGGAUAACACCCCGAGUGCUUGACGGUACCUUCAGAGGAAGCACCGGCUAACUACGUGCCAGCAGCCGCGGUAA
rnacentral:rRNA from 1 species